AGCAGCCGCGGUAAUUCCAGCUCCAAUAGCGUAUAUUAAAGUUGUUGCAGUUAAAAAGCUCGUAGUUGAAUUUCGGGGUUAGCAAGUUGGUCGUGCCUUCGGUAUGCACUGGCCUUGCUGAUUCCUCCUUCUUGAAGAACUGUGAUGCUAUUAAUUUGGUGUUGCAGGGAAACAGGACUGUUACUUUGAAAAAUUGAGUGUUUAAAGCAGGCUAACGCUUGAAUACAUUAGCAUGGAAUAAUGAAAUAGGACGUUUGAUCCUAUUUUGUGGUUUCUAGGAUUGACGUAAUGAUUAAUAGGGAUAGUUGGGGGCAUUAGUAUUCAAUUGUCAGAGGUGAAAUUCUUGGAUUUAUUGAAGACUAACUACUGCGAAAGCAUUUGCCAAGGAUGCUUUCAUUAAUCAAGAACGAAAGUUAGGGGAUCGAAGACGAU
rnacentral:rRNA from 1 species